CGCGUACCAAAAGUAAUAAUGUG
rnacentral:miRNA from 2 species